rnacentral:rRNA from 1 species
AUGCAAGUCGAACGAAGUAGCAAUACUUAGUGGCAGACGGGUGAGUAACAUGUGGGUAUCUACCCUUUGGCCUGGAAUAACACGAGGAAACUUGUGCUAAUACCGGAUAAGUCUUUACGGAGAAAGCUUUAUGCACCAAUGGAUGAGCCCGCACUUGAUUAGUUUGUUGGUAGGGUAAUGGCCUACCAAGACUAUGAUCAAUAGCUGAUUUGAGAGGAUGAUCAGCCACAUUGGGACUGAGACACGGCCCAAACUCCUACGGGAGGCAGCAGUGGGGAAUCUUGCACAAUGGAGGAAACUCUGAUGCAGCGAUGCCGCGUGAGUGAAGAAGGCCUUUGGGUUGUAAAGCUCUUUCGUCGGGGAAGAAAAUGACUGUACCCGAAUAAGAAGGUCCGGCUAACUUCGUGCCAGCAGCCGCGGUAAUACGAAGGGACCUAGCGUAGUUCGGAAUUACUGGGCUUAAAGAGUUCGUAGGUGGUUGAAAAAGUUGGUGGUGAAAUCCCAGAGCUUAACUCUGGAACUGCCAUCAAAACUUUUCAGCUAGAGUAUGAUAGAGGAAAGCAGAAUUUCUAGUGUAGAGGUGAAAUUCGUAGAUAUUAGAAAGAAUACCAAUUGCGAAGGCAGCUUUCUGGAUCAUUACUGACACUGAGGAACGAAAGCAUGGGUAGCGAAGAGGAUUAGAUACCCUCGUAGUCCAUGCCGUAAACGAUGUGUGUUAGACGUUGGAAAUUUAUUUUCAGUGUCGCAGGGAAACCGAUAA